AAAAAGUAAAAUUUCAGUUUGCUCUUCACAAAAAGCUCCAAGACUUAAAUAAGCAGAAUUAAAUAAGAAAUACAGUGCAUGAGACAUACUACAUUUAAAGUGUUUUUAUGCUCAGCAGAUCCUGCAAAAAUAUCUUCUUUCAACAAAGAACAUAAUGGCACAUGCAUUUGGAAGAACGAGAGGAUCCAUUGGCUGGGAUCUCUACGGCGGAAUGCUGCUGGGACCCCCUUCUAACCUCCCCCCAACCCUCCCCUUGAGUGCACCCACCCAUUAGGAAUUCCAGCAGGGCAUUGUGGGUGGGAUGAAUGGGGUCAGAGCCAAGGAAUGAAAUUUCGAAACCCUCGACAUCAGUGGCGCCUCUGAUGUCAGACGGACUGUGGCUGUCAGAAGUGUUAGCAGGGUGCCUGAUGUCUCAACCUUCCCCUAUUUACAGAUCCGGCAAAUCCAGGCACCCAAACAACCCUGUCUACCACUAUUCAUCCUCUAAAUACUGAUAAAAACAACUGUCUGACCACAGACGCAGUGGAAUGUGCUUUACAGCUUUUCACAAGGGCAGACAGUUUCUCAGACAGCUGCCAAUUCUCCCACAAAUGUGCAAGACUGGGGUUCACAAGAGGUAAAGCCUCGCAAGAAAGCUUGUGUAGGCACUGUUACCUUCACAGCUGGGCUUUCUGUUACACCGGGCCCGGAUCCAAAGCUCUGGAUGAGCUUAAGCUUGCUGUCCUUUGCCCAAUCUGCAUGGACAAGUCCUCCCUACCACCAC
ensembl:lncRNA